rnacentral:rRNA from 1 species
GGUUGUCGUCAGCUCGUGUCGUGAGAUUGUUGGGUUAAGUCCCGCAACGAGCGCAACCCCCGCCGUUAGUUGCCAGCGGUUCGGCCGGGCACUCUAACGGGACUGCCCGCGAAAGCGGGAGGAAGGAGGGGACGACGUCUGGUCAGCAUGGCCCUUACGGCCUGGGCGACACACGUGCUACAAUGCCCACUACAAAGCGAUGCCACCCGGCAACGGGGAGCUAAUCGCAAAAAGGUGGGCCCAGUUCGGAUUGGGGUCUGCAACCCGACCCCAUGAAGCCGGAAUCGCUAGUAAUCGCGGAUCAGCCAUGCCGCGGUGAAUACGUUCCCGGGCCUU